UGGGGAAUUUUGGACAAUGGGCGAAAGCCUGAUCCAGCAAUGCCGCGUGUGUGAAGAAGGCCUUCGGGUUGUAAAGCACUUUUGUCCGGAAAGAAAUGGCUCUGGUUAAUACCUGGGGUCGAUGACGGUACCGGAAGAAUAAGGACCGGCUAACUACGUGCCAGCAGCCGCGGUAAUACGUAGGGUCCAAGCGUUAAUCGGAAUUACUGGGCGUAAAGCGUGCGCAGGCGGUUGUGCAAGACCGAUGUGAAAUCCCCGAGCUUAACUUGGGAAUUGCAUUGGUGACUGCACGGCUAGAGUGUGUCAGAGGGGGGUAGAAUUCCACGUGUAGCAGUGAAAUGCGUAGAGAUGUGGAGGAAUACCGAUGGCGAAGGCAGCCCCUGGGAUAACACUGACGCUCAUGCACGAAAGCGUGGGGAGCAAACAGGAUUAGAUACCCUGGUAGUCCACGCCCUAAACGAUGUCAACUAGUUGUUGGGAUUCAUUUCCUUAGUAACGUAGCUAACGCGUGAAGUUGACCGCCUGGGGAGUACGGUCGCAA
rnacentral:rRNA from 1 species